rnacentral:rRNA from 1 species
GAUGAACGCUAGCGGCAGGCUUAACACAUGCAAGUCGAGGGGUAGAAAUAGCUUGCUAUUUUGAGACCGGCGCACGGGUGCGUAACGCGUAUGCAAUCUGCCUUUUACAGGGGAAUAGCCCAGAGAAAUUUGGAUUAAUGCCCCAUAGCACUGCAGGACGGCAUCGUCCAGCAGUUAAAGUCACAACGGUAAAAGAUGAGCAUGCGUCCCAUUAGCUAGUUGGUAAGGUAACGGCUUACCAAGGCGAUGAUGGGUAGGGGUUCUGAGAGGGAGAUCCCCCACACUGGUACUGAGACACGGACCAG